AGCCCAGCACCGAAGCCUGCGGUAGUUUUGCUGUUAGGCAAUGUGGUGUGCGGGUCGGUUAGCGGGAUCGUCACUCCACUCGAAGUCCAGCAUUGAGUAUGGUUAUCACUGGAUUUGGCCCAUAGAGGGUGAGAGGCCCAUACGAGUGGAGGUUCAGAUAUGUGUGACGAUUCACCAGACCGGCCUCAGAGUCGGGUUGUUUGAGAUUGCAGCCCAAAGAGGGUGGUAAACUUGGUCCAAGGCUAAAUACUAGCACGAGUCCGAUAGCGAACAAGUACCGUGAGGGAAAGUUGAAAAGUACUCUGAAGAGAGAGUAAACAGUACGUGAAGCCGCAUGCAGGUAAACGGGUGGCGUCAAGCUGCGAGCCCGGAGGAUUCAGCUGAUUAGGAUGUAGUGUACGUGCGCCUGGUACGUCGAGAGACCGGAAUAAGAUGAUGUUUUGCGGUUCACUUCUCUACUAGGAGUGGAGUGCUAUCGAUAUGCACGUGAAAGCGUGUGUACUGAUUGUCGCUAUACAUGCCGGGUGGGUACCGGAGUAUGCCGCACAUCUGUUGGGUCACCUAGUCAGUGCAUUUUCUCCGUGGUAAACACCACGACCGGUGGAACUGUCAGUCUGCUGUGAUCAAGUCGUGUCUUUCUGACCCCUCCGUUUUCUCUCUCUCAUAAUUAUAGCUCUAUUACUUCUACUUUGUGGAUGGUAGUAGUGUUGUAGUUGUGAUGAGUAGGGGAGUGGAUGUGUGUGUUGGGUAGAUACGAUGGCAGAUGGAGUCGGUGGACGGCGCAGUGGUGCAUUAAGUACUGCCGCGUGUUAUCGUACACUCUCCACCGUAAGCGAUUAGUGGAGUUGACUAAGUACUGUGACUACCUCUCCAUUGAUCGGCGGAUAGCAGUGGUAAAAAUGACUGUACAGGGCACUGGAGUUAUCCACCUCAAUUAUGUAAUUUAUUCAUCCAUUCAUUUGUUCAUGAAUUCAUUCUUUACGGAUUGGAUUUGUGGAUAAGUGGAUUGGUUGAGUGAAUUAUUGGUACCCGACACGCAUGUUACAGGUGCUAUGUAAUCGGGGUACGCCGCUGUCUGUCUGGUAUUGGGCCUGACUAUCGUGUUGCCUACGCAAAGUGGGUCCGGUAGUGGUUGUAUAUACUUGGCAGUUGCAGUGUGUAGCGUUCCUCGGGUGUGUGUGGUACUGAGGGUGAAAUAGUCAGUGGUGCUGUGGUAGACGAGCUACCCGACCCGUCUUGAAACACGGACCAAGGAGUUUAACAUGUGUGCGAGUCAAAGGGUCCUACGAAACCCCGAGGCGUAAUGAAAGUGAAGUACAUGCUGUACUUUUGUACGUGCGCAGUGCAGUAUGGCGAGGUGAGAUCUCCUUGUACUCAUGACACACGCUAUAUUACCGAACUGGGCAUUAAUUGGGGCAAGGAGCGCAUCACCGGCCCGUCGCAUGUUGUGGUCAAAGGUGUACUUGUGCGUGGAAGGGUGUGUGUGUAUGUAUAUGUGUUUAUUUUUWUUUAAUAUGMAUGUGUGCAUU
rnacentral:rRNA from 1 species